rnacentral:lncRNA from 1 species
GCUUGAAAAGCUCAUUAUUGGCAAUAAUGUAUUUUUGGAUUGAUCGAAAGAAAUCUAGUUUUUUCCCUUUCAGUAAUUAGUUGAUUUUUCAAAUCCUAGUCCAAAGAGCUCUCUCAUUGAAUAAUCUAAACUCUUCAUACUACCUUCUAUUCUUUAUCGAUCUCAUCAUCUCAAGACUUAAAGAAGCCAUUUAUGUUUGGUUUAGAAGGAAUGAAUCGUAUGUAGAGGGAGUGUGAAUAGAUACCCCACAUUUUUCGUUAUGUAAAAACAAGUUUUUCAAAAAUUGUUUUGCAAGAUUAUGUGUGGCAUGAUAUCAUAUAUGAAAUUAACCGUUAAAGAAAAUUGCAAAACACGGUGAUUAAGGUAAGGAAAGAUACAAAUAUUCAAUUAGUUUAUUUGAUUGAUAUGAUCAACGAAUUGAUGAUUAUUUUUUUCAUUUUUAUUUUUUAUUGACAAAAGAUGAUUAUUUGUUAAGUUGAUUAAUACAAUUAAAGAACUAUGAAUAUGGUAAACCAAUUAACCAAAUUUUAUCAAAAUAAAAAACCACACAAUUAAGCUGAAUAUAUGAAGAAGAAAAUAAGGUAAUUUUGAUUCAAAAAUUGAUUCAGUGAAGAAUUUCAGAACGCCUUUUUGUAGAUUUGAAGGGGGCAAACAUGAAGACCUAUUUCUAGCUAAGUCUCCCAAAAUUUCUGCAGAGCAAAAUUCCACCAAGGAAAAAAGAGAUAUUUUAAUUUAUAGAUGUUCAUUAACACCAUUCAAUAAUAAUGGUAGCAUAUAACAAUGACAUCGUUAUCAAUAAAAAAAAUUGGAGA